CCUACGGGGGGCAGCAGUGGGGAAUUUUGCGCAAUGCUCGUAAGAGUGACGCAGCGACGCCGCGUGAAUGACGAAGGCCUUCGGGUCGUAAAGUUCUUUCGACAGGGAAGAAAAUGCCUAUAAGUAACUGUGUAUGUAUUGACGGUACCUGUAUAAGCAGCCCCGGCUAACUCCGUGCCAGCAGCUGCGGUAAUACGGAGGGGGCGUGCGUUGGUCGGUGUGAAUGGGGGUAAAGAGCACGUAGGCGGUGUUGUAAGUCAUUAGUCAAAGGCUAGAGCUCAACUUUAGUAAGGCUAGUGAUACUAUAAUACUAGAGUAUCAGAGAGGAGUGCAGAAUGCCUGGUGUAGCGGUGAAAUGCGUAGAUAUCAGGAGGAAUACCGUUAGCGAAGGCGGCAAUCUGGCUGGAAACUGACGCUGAGGUGCGAAAGCGUGGGUAGCAAACAGGAUUAGAUACCCUGGUAGUC
rnacentral:rRNA from 1 species